CCCACAAUCUAGCCCUAAUAUUAACCUCUUACCACCCCCCCCCCCCCAAAAAAAAUAUUUUUACUUAUUAGUAAAGACGAUUAAAAACUAACUCAGAGCUACAUUUUCGUACCGCAAGGGAGAGAUGAAAAAAUGAAAUACCACAAGCACGAAAAAGUAGAGGUUAAUCCUCGUACCUUUUGCAUCAUGGCUUAACUAGUCAAAUCAAGCAAAAAGAGUUUAAGUUUGACCCCCCGAAACUAAGUGAGCUACUUCAGAGCAGCAUUACGAGCAAACCCGUCUCUGUUGCAAAAGAGUGGGAAGACUCUCAAGUAGAGGUGACACGCCUAUCGAACUUAGAAAUAGCUGGUUAUUCGAGAAAAGAAUUUUAGUUCACCCUAAUGUUAACGUAAUACCUAAAAAUACAAUCUUUGACCUUAGAGCUAUUCAAAUAAGGUACAGCCUAUUUGAAACAGGAUACAGCCUCUACCCAUGGGUAAUAAUAUAAAGUAAUUUCCAAGUUGGCCCAAAAGCAGCCACCUUUUAAAAAGCGUCACAGCUUAAUAACCUUAAACUAUAAUAUCCUAAUACACAAAAAACCCUUUAAUAGUAUCGAAUUCUUCUGUAUUGAUACAGAAUUAUUUAUGUUAAGACUAGUAGCAAGAAGCAACCUUCUCUUUAAUGUAAGUGUAAAAGAACUUCCUCUAAUAUUAACAUAUGAACAAAAUGUAGUAACUCAACGAGAAAACCCUACCCAAGCCUCUGUUAACCUUACACAAGAACAUUCCAAGAAAGAUUACAAGAGAAAGAAGGAACUCAGCAAACUACGAUUCCGCCUGUUUACCAAAAACAUCGCCUCUUGAAAAUAUAAGAGGUCCUGUCUGCCCAGUGACUCUGUUCAACGGCCGCGGUAUUUUGACCGUGCAAAGGUAGCGUAAUCACUUGUUUUCUAAUUAAAGACCUGUAUGAAAGACCACACGAGAAUCACACUGUCUCCUCUCUCCAAUCAGCGAAACUAAUCUCCUCGUGAAAAAGCGAGAAUUACCUUAUAAGACGAAAAGACCCUGUGGAGCUUUAAACAGCCUGACAGCUAAUAUAAUUUUAUUACUUUUUAGCAUGAUUACAAGUUUUUGGUUGGGGUGACCCUGGAGAAUAAACUAACCUCCAAGAUGACAUAUGAAUCUCCUUUAGCAUAAAGCCACAAUUUUACGCAUCAGUAUACUGACAUCAAUUGACCCUUAUUGAUCAACGAACCAAGUUACCCCAGGGAUAACAGCGCAAUCUACUUCAAGAGUACAUAUCGACAAGCAGGUUUACGACCUCGAUGUUGGAUCAGGGUAUCCUGGUGGUGCAGCCGCUACUAAGGGCUCGUUUGUUCAACGAUUAAAACCCUACGUGAUCUGAGUUCAGACCGGAGUAAUCCAGGUCGGUUUCUAUCUAUAAUCAAGGCUUCUUCCAGUACGAAAGGACCGAAGCAGCACAGCCAAUGUAAACACAAGCUGUUAUNNUAUCUAUGACUUAUACUCAAUAGUUUAACUAACCCUACUCCCCUAGAAAGGG
rnacentral:rRNA from 1 species